rnacentral:lncRNA from 1 species
UUAAAUAUAAUAUAAAUUAAAAGAAUUAAAAAUUAAUAUAGUAUUAGCAAAAAAAAUAAGGUUCAGGGACUAUUUUAACUGUUGAGGGGUAUUAAUAUUUAAUAGGUUUAAUUUCAUACAUAUUCCUACAAAUAUAGUGAAUAGUAAAAAUAUUUCUACGAGCUUCAAUUUUCAUAUGUUGUCGUUACAAAAAUUUUGAUAUUUACAAAUACAUCCCUGCCGUUUGAAUUCGUUAGAAAAUUUUAGUUAACCAUAGAUUAAAUACUUAAUCCUGAUUAGUUUGAUAUUUUUAUCUCUUUUAUAUUAUACUAUUAUGAUUUUUAGAAAAACAUAUUUGUAAUGGCAAAAUUAAAAAUAUAAACAAUUCUCUAACGGUAAUAAACUAGAGAGAUAUAUUUGAAAAUAUUAGAACUUUCGUAGGAAUAAUAUAUGAAAGUUGAACUUUGUAAGAAUAUAUAUUACCAUUCACUAUAUUUACCGAGGGACCUGUAUGAAAUUAACCCUGUUUAAUAUUUCCGAAAAUUCCUAAUUGAAAUGAAAAAUUUUUAAAU